GAUGAAGAACGUAGCGAAAUGCGAUACUUGGUGUGAAUUGCAGAAUCCUGUGAACCAUCGAGUCUUUGAACGCAAGUUGCGCCCGAAGCCAUCAGGUUGAGGGCACGUCUGCCUGGGCGUCACAUAUCGUUGCUCGAUGCCUAUCGCAUUGCGAUAGGACUUAGGGCGAAUGAUGGCUUCCCGUGAGCGUUGUUGCCUCGCGGUUGGUUGAAAAUCGAGUGCAUGGUGUCGGGUGUACCAUGAUGGAUGGUGGUUGAGUGAUGAUGCUCGAGACCAAUCAUGGGUAACUCCACCAGAAUUGGGCUCGGUGACCCACAUGCGUCCCUUGGAUGCUCCCUAAGGAGACCUCAGGUCAGGCGGGGCUACCCGCUGAGUUUAAGCAUAUCAAUAAGCGGAGGA
rnacentral:misc_RNA from 1 species